AGAGUUUGAUCCUGGCUCAGAGUGAACGUUGGCGGCGUGCCUAACACAUGCAAGUCGAACGCGUCUUGGGGGGCAACUCCUGAGAUGAGUGGCGAACGGGUGAGUAACACGUGAGUAAUCUACCCUCGAGUGAGGAAUAACCCCGCGAAAGCGGAGCUAAUACCGCAUAAUACUCUGGAGCGUAAGCUCUCAGAGUCAAAGCUUUCCGAGCAAUCGGGCAGCGCUUGAGGAUGAGCUUGCGGCCUAUUAGCUUGUUGGUGAGGUAACGGCUCACCAAGGCAAAGAUGGGUAGCCGGCUUGAGAGGGUGUACGGCCUCACUGGGACUGAGAUACGGCCCAGACUCCUACGGGAGGCAGCAGUGGGGAAUCUUGCGCAAUGGGCGAAAGCCUGACGCAGCGACGCCGCGUGGAGGAUGAAAGCCUUCGGGUUGUAAACUCCUGUCAGAGGAGAAGAAUCUCCGAGCAAUCGGAGUUGACGGUAUCCUCAGAGGAAGCCCCGGCUAACUACGUGCCAGCAGCCGCGGUAAAACGUAGGGGGCAAACGUUACUCGGAAUUACUGGGCGUAAAGGGUGUGUAGGUGGCUGAGCAAGUCAAUGAUGAAAUCCCAAGGCUCAACCUUGGAAUUGUUGUUGAAACUGCUCAGCUUGAGGAUAGUCGAGGAGAACGGAAUUCCCGGUGGAGCGGUGAAAUGCGUAGAUAUCGGGAGGAACACCAGAGGCGAAGGCGGUUCUCUGGGCUAUUCCUGACACUGAAACACGAAAGCUAGGGGGAGCAAACGGGGAUUUAGAUACCCCGGUAG
rnacentral:rRNA from 1 species